ensembl:lncRNA
CUGAUGCCAAAUUCCUGCUUACCUGGCCUCCCUUCCCUUCGAUUGAGCAGUUAUUUGACAGAAUCUACCCAUUGUGGCCUAGUUGUAGAAACAGCUUCAUAGCAGAACUUGUGUAGGGAGUCAAGUCAUGGAAACUGGGUGCCCAAAGCAUUACGGAAUCAUGAGACAAGAAGAGGGAGAGUUGCAACAGUUUAUAGAAGGUUGAAAGUGAAACUGGAAAGAAUCAGCACUGAAAAGAGACGUUUUUGACUUCAGGCUAGUGCCCAAGCCUCAGUUUAGUUAAUCCUGGUCUUAUCCAGGCUAAAACACAGACUGACGUCACAACUUUGGAAUCCCUGGGAGCUGGCAAGCCCUGGUCCAAGGAAUUUUCCAUUUCAGGUGCAGCGCCCGGCAGCCCCUGACUGGCUUUGGUCCUGUGCGUGUAGACCUGAAAGCUCUCCUCAGCGUUGUCAGUGGAAAACCUGGGGGCGGCGCGCAGCGUGAGACCGUGGCCAGUCGCAGUCCAUCGCUGGUGUCUCAGAUCACUCUGACAACCGGUCAGGACGAUGGAAAUUGUCAUCAUGAUUAUUUGGCAUAGUAGACUGGCUGGUUAAGUAAAAAAUGAUCAAUUCAAUAUGUUAUAUGUUUUAUAAUACACCAUGAUGCAUAUAGUACUGUGUCAGAUUCUGUGGAAUACAGGAUAAAGUAAAGUAUGGUGGAAACCAAACCAAAAAAUAACAACAGGAUAUGAUUUGGGCCCCAAAAAUGGAAGGAGAAAGACUAGAGGAUUGAUGAUAGAGAAUGGCAUUUACUAUUUCCUAGUAUUUUAACAUAUACAAUGGUAAGGAUUCACCUGACCAGUUCUUUUUAUUUUUAAUUCCAUGAAAGAUACUAAUGCUAUUAUCGCAGUCAUAAUAAUAAUAAUAGCCAAAUGCAUUCAGUGUUCUCUGUGUACCAGGCAUUGCACUAGACUCUUUGCAUGCGUGGCCUCAUUAAUGCCCUCCCAACAACGCUUUGAGACUGGCAUUAUCCUUCUCACUUUAGGGAUGAGGGAACUGAGCCUUGGAGAAAAGAACUCACUUAAUGCCACACACCAGGAAGCGGGAUUGCUGCCGUUGGAACCCAAAUCUGACACCAAAUCUGACUUUCUUUUCCCUGGACCAUACCAACAGCGAGGAGACGCUAAGGACAUUGGAACUGCUAGGUGUUUGCCAUUUGUUCCAACCUUCGCUCUCUAAGGUUAUGGGAAGAAAUAAUAUUUCUGGGCUGAGAUGGAAAGCGGGACCUGACUUAGUCGGUGAAAGGCUGUGAGUGGCAGGAAGAGGCAUUCCAAGAAGGCCUGGCUGUGUUUUUCCUCUUGGAAAAGCUGAAAACUACAAAUCAAUAGUUCCAAGGUAUCUGGAAUAUGUCAAAGACCAGUCGAUAUGAAUCAACCGACAAGAGUGAUAUUGAAUUCGACCAUGAGGUUGUGUCAGAGAAAAGGCCCCAAAGGUCUACAUUCCAGGCUGAAAGGCCAGGAUAAUAUGCAACUAAUUGAGGCACUAGAGGGACCUUCCUCUCAACAAAUGGAUCUCCUGAGUCUUCAGCAGGAACUUCGUCCGGAAGAAAUGAAGAUGCAGGAAGAUACUGUGCUAGUUGCCCUGCAAAUGCCAGCAUUGUCCUUGCCCCGGCCCUCACCCCGUCAUAACAGAAUCUCCCUCUGGCAACAGUUGGUGUUGGCCAAGCAGAGAACGCAGUCUCACACAGAAACUCCAGGCCUGCGAGAGCUGAGUUGCCCCAGAGCCUCAUCCUUGAGACUCUGCAAUAGAUUGAGAUUUGGUAAAGGAGAAGAGGGUUUGCCUUCACUAUUCCCUCCCCCAAGUGUGGGAAGCUGAUAUUGGC